rnacentral:piRNA from 1 species
AAGGUAGAAGGGACUUUAAACAUG